rnacentral:rRNA from 1 species
UACGAGGGAUCCUAGCGUUGUCCGGAAUCACUGGGCGUAAAGGGCGCGUAGGUGGUGGCUUAAGCGUGCGGUGAAAGCUCGGGGCUCAACCCCGAGUCGGCCGUGCGAACUGGGCUCACUGGAGCAUAGUAGAGGCAGGUGGAAUUCCGGGUGUAGCGGUGGAAUGCGUAGAGAUCGGGAGGAACACCCGUGGCGAAGGCGGCCACCUGGGCCGACCCUGACGCUGAGGCGCGAAGCGUGGGGAGCGAACGGGA